UACGUAGGGGGCAAGCGUUGUCCGGAAUCAUUGGGCGUAAAGAGCGCGUAGGCGGUCCGAUAAGUCGGCUGUGAAAGUCAGGGGCUCAACCCUUGGAAGCCGGCCGAUACUGUCGGACUAGAGUCCGGAAGAGGCGAGUGGAAUUCCCGGUGUAGCGGUGAAAUGCGCAGAUAUCGGGAGGAACACCAAUGGCGAAGGCAGCUCGCUGGGACGGUACUGACGCUGAGGCGCGAAGGCGUGGGGAGCAAACAGG
rnacentral:rRNA from 1 species